rnacentral:lncRNA from 1 species
UGCUGACAAAUGCUUGUGCUUUAACAUCAAGAACAGCCUUGGCAAUAUUCAUGUAUGGAAAAAUGUCUCCUCUGUAUUGUCAGGCAACUAAACCUCUUAAGCCACUGUUCUGAUGUUUGCAUGCUACAGAAAUAACAUUAAAACAAGAUUUAGGAGCCAAAUAACUGCAUAUCAUUUAAAGUAAACUACAUGUUAUAUAACUUUGCUGCCAGCCUUUAAAUUGGCAAACAUACUCAUCCAGUUCCUGUUAAAUAUCGUUAAAAAAUUAUGCUCAAUGAGAAACACACACACUAAUUCUUUAUGAUAGCAGCUAGACGCGCCAGUCUUCAGACUGAAAUAAUUUGCCAAGAUUAUUUAAGCACAGACCACAGAGAGCAGCUCCCUACAAGCUUGCAGACUGCAGGGAGGGCAAAAAGGCAGAGACAGGGAGCAGAGAGAGACAGGAAAACAACACUGGUCAGCAUAAAAAGUGAUGAUCUUAGCAUGAGAAUCUGAUGUUUGAUUUUGGUAUGUUCAUGUCAUAACUGGGAUCAUCUUGAGCUGAGGAAUUUUACUGCAUUUGUUUCUCAUCAGCACGAAUGUGGGGGUGGCCGUGCUGCAGCACAAGCUGGUACAGGCCACGGUCCCUCAGGGCCUGCAGGCCCAGCACAGCUUGGUGCGCCCCGGCCUCGGGGUGGCUGGUAACCCCUGCUGGCAUGGAUUAUGGAUUAUUCCCCCGGAGAGUGUGUCUGCAGACCCCUACAGCUGCCAGUUUUUCUUAAAUAUUUUUACAGAUGGAGACAUGCCUGUGGCAGGUGGAGGGUUUGGCUCACACCGGCGGUCUCACAGGACCACUCUGACUGGAGGCAGCCAGGGCUGGCUCGCCCCUCACCGCCAGCACCUCCCCAGAGCAAGGGCAGAAAAAGGAAGAAAAUGUGGAAUUGCAGAGACAAAGCGAUAUGCAGUUGACAUCGUGCAAGGAAGGACUUGAUGCCUUCAAAAUGCAGACUGUAAUGAAAACACUUCCUUAGGCAAGAAAAAAGCUUCAAAGGUAAUUAUAUCUAUUUCUUCAGCAUUUUGUUCCAUUUAGUGUUUUAUUAAACCUCUCACCUGAUCUUUGGUGUGUGUAUGAUAAAAGCAAGUUUGUAGAGCAGCCACCUCUGAUAGAUGAUAUAAUCCUGUUAGCAGGCAGGAUGUAAAAUAGGUCCUGUGGCACACCAGGAUUACCUCAGAAAUCCCUGGCAAGGCUAAUUAUUUUUUUCCUAGCCGCUGAGCAAUCGCUAACUCUCUCCCACAGUUACUAAGCGCUUCUGACCUUCAAUAUUUCUUCUACACUAUUGUGGAGAUUGCACCUAAAAUCUAUCAAGGACACAGCACCUGUGUUGUUGCUUGCAAACCGCUCCCCGUGAAGGACACGUUUUUUGAUGGAUGCAGUCUCAGCUCGCCCAGUACAUUCCCUGGAGACAGCAGCAUAACGCGUGUUUCCAUAAGGGGAAAAAAGCCUGUAUUAGGAGUCCAUUACAUUAAUAGAAAUCAUGAAUAGCCUGUUGAUUGCAGAGACAACGCAGUAAUUACGGCAUAUCUGAAAUGUCACUGUUGGAGGGAUUGUAGAGGGAGGUUACAGCACCAGUUUGAAUAAAUGGAUAGCUAAAGGGGAGACA